rnacentral:rRNA from 1 species
GGAAUCUUGCGCAAUGGGCGAAAGCCUGACGCAGCAACGCCGCGUGAGGGAUGAAGGCUCUAGGGUCGUAAACCUCUUUUCUCAGGGAAGACUAAGGACGGUACCUGAGGAAUAAGCCACGGCUAACUACGUGCCAGCAGCCGCGGUAAUACGUAGGUGGCAAGCGUUGUCCGGAAUUACUGGGCGUAAAGGGUCCGUAGGCGGUUCGGUAAGUCUCUUGUGAAAACCCCAGGCUCAACUUGGGGACGCCGAGGGAUACUGCCGGACUUGAGAUUGUCAGAGGCGAACGGAAUUCCCGGUGUAGUGGUGAAAUGCGUAGAUAUCGGGAGGAACUCCAGUGGCGAAAGCGGUUCGCUGGGACACAUCUGACGCUGAGGGACGAAAGCGUGGGGAGCA